rnacentral:rRNA from 1 species
GACGAACGCUGGCGGCGUGCUUAACACAUGCAAGUCGAACGGAAAGGCCCUGCUUUUGUGGGGUGCUCGAGUGGCGAACGGGUGAGUAACACGUGAGUAACCUGCCCUUGACUUUGGGAUAACUUCAGGAAACUGGGGCUAAUACCGGAUAGGAGCUCCUGCUGCAUGGUGGGGGUUGGAACGUUUCGGCGGUUGGGGAUGGACUCGCGGCUUAUCAGCUUGUUGGUGGGGUAGUGGCUUACCAAGGCUUUGACGGGUAGCCGGCCUGAGAGGGUGACCGGCCUCAUUGGGACUGAGAUACGGCCCAGACUCCUACGGGAGGCAGCAGUGGGGAAUAUUGCACAAUGGGCGGAAGCCUGAUGCAGCAACGCCGCGUGCGGGAUGACGGCCUUCGGGUUGUAAACCGCUUUCGCCUGUGACGAAGCGUGAGUGACGGUAAUGGGUAAAGAAGCGCCGGCUAACUACGUG